rnacentral:rRNA from 1 species
UAAUACGUAGGUGGCAAGCGUUGUCCGGAUUUAUUGGGUUUAAAGGGUGCGUAGGCGGUCCUAUAAGUCAGUGCUGAAAUAUCCCGGCUUAACCGGGAGGGUGGCAUUGAUACUGCAGGACUUGAGUAAAGUUGAGGUUGGCGGAAUUGACGGUGUAGCGGUGAAAUGCUUAGAUAUCGUCAAGAACACCUAUUGCGAAGGCAGCUAACUAAGCUUUAACUGACGCUGAGGCACGAAAGUGUGGGGAUCAAACAGGAUUAGAUACCCUGGUAGUCCACACUGUAAACGUUGAUUACUCGAUGUUGGCGAUACACAGUCAGCGUCUUAGCGCAAGCGAUAAGUAAUCCACCUGGGGAGUACGCCGGCAACGGUG